GACGAACGCUGGCGGCGUGCUUAACACAUGCAAGUCGAACGGAAAGGCCCUGCUUUUGUGGGGUGCUCGAGUGGCGAAAGGGUGAGUAACACGUGAGUAACCUGCCCUUGACUUUGGGAUAACUUCAGGAAACUGGGGCUACUACCGGAUAGGAGCUCCUGCUGCAUGGUGGGGGUUGGAAAGUUUCGGCGGUUGGGGAUGGACUCGCGGCUUAUCAGCUUGUUGGUGGGGUAGUGGCUUACCAAGGCAUUGACGGGUAACCGGCCUGAGAGGGUGACCGGCCACAUUGGGACUGAGAUACGGCCCAGACUCCUACGGGAGGCAGCAGUGGGGAAUAUUGCACAAUGGGCGGAAGCCUGAUGCAGCAACGCCGCGUGCGGGAUGAAGGCCAUCGGGUUGUAAACCGCUUUCGCCUGUGACGAAGCGGGAGUGACGGUAAUGGGUAAAGAAGCACCGGCUAACUACGUG
rnacentral:rRNA from 1 species